GACGAACCGAGCAAACGUUAUUCGGAAUCACUGGGCUUAAAGGGCGCGUAGGCGGUCUCGUAAGUCUGCGGUGAAAUCCUCCAGCUCAACUGGAGACGGCCGUGGAUACUGCGAGUCUCGAGGGAGGUAGGGGCGGUGCGGAACAGAUGGUGGGAGCGGUGAAAUGCGUUGAUAUCAUCUGGAACUCCGGUGGCGAAGGCGGCACGCUGGACCUCUUCUGACGCUGAGGCGCGAAAGCCAGGGGAGCGAA
rnacentral:rRNA from 1 species